rnacentral:rRNA from 1 species
UAUGGNUCAACCAUAGUGUGCUCUGGAAACUGUCUGACUUGAGUGCAGAAGGGGAGAGUGGAAUUCCAUGUGUAGCGGUGAAAUGCGUAGAUAUAUGGAGGAACACCAGUGGCGAAAGCGGCUCUCUGGUCUGUCACUGACGCUGAGGCUCGAAAGCGUGGGUAGCGAACAGGAUUAGAUACCCUGGUAGUNCACGCCGUAAACGAUGAGUGCUAGGUGUUAGGCCCUUUCCGGGGCUUAGUGCCGGAGCUAACGCAAUAAGCACUCCGCCUGGGGAGUACGACCGCAAGGUUGAAACUCAAAGGAAUUGACGGGGGCCCGCACAAGCGGUGGAGCAUGUGGUUUAAUUCGAAGCAACGCGAAGAACCUUACCAGGUCUUGACAUCCCGAUGCUAUUCUUAGAGAUAGGAAGUUACUUCGGUACAUCGGAGACAGGUGGUGCAUGGUUGUCGUCAGCUCGUGUCGUGAGAUGUUGGGUUAAGUCCCGCAACGAGCGCAACCCUUAUUGUUAGUUGCCAUCAUUAAGUUGGGCACUCUAGCGAGACUGCCGGUAAUAAACCGGAGGAAGGUGGGGAUGACGUCAAAUCAUCAUGCCCCUUAUGACCUGGGCUACACACGUGCUACAAUGGUCGGUACAACGAGUUGCGAGCCGGUGACGGCAAGCUAAUCUCUGAAAGCCGAUCUCAGUUCGGAUUGGAGGCUGCAACUCGCCUCCAUGAAGUCGGAAUCGCUAGUAAUCGCGGAUCAGCACGCCGCGGUGAAUACGUUCCCGGGCCUUGUACACACCGCCCGUCACACCACGAGAGUUUGUAACACCCGAAGUCGGUGAGGUAACCUUUUAGGGNCCA